rnacentral:rRNA from 1 species
AACAAACGCUGGCGGCGUGCCUAAUACAUGCAAGUCGAACGGGGAAAGCUUUCGGGUGAGUACUAGUGGCGCACGGGUGAGUAACGCGUGGAUAAUCUGCCUUAGAGUGGGGGAUAACUAGUCGAAAGAUUAGCUAAUACCGCAUAAGACCACAAGAACUGCGGUUCAAGAGGUCAAAGGUUUUUCGCUCUAAGAUGAGUCCGCGUAAGAUUAGCUAGUUGGUGAGGUAACGGCUCACCAAGGCAACGAUCUUUAACUGGUCUGAGAGGAUGAUCAGUCACGCUGGAACUGAGACACGGUCCAGACUCCUACGGGAGGCAGCAGUAGGGAAUAUUGCGCAAUGGAGGAAACUCUGAUGCAGCGACGCCGCGUGAGUGAUGAAGGCCUUCGGGUCGUAAAGCUCUGUCGCAGGGGAAUAACACAAUGAAUGUACCCUGUAAGAAAGGAUCGGCUAACUUCGUGCCAGCCGCCGCGGUAAUAC